rnacentral:rRNA from 1 species
AGAGUUUGAUCCUGGCUCAGAUUGAACGCUGGCGGCAUGCUUUACACAUGCAAGUCGAACGGCAGCGCGGGGCAACCUGGCGGCGAGUGGCGAACGGGUGAGUAAUAUAUCGGAACGUACCCAAGAGUGGGGGAUAACGUAGCGAAAGUUACGCUAAUACCGCAUACGAUCUAUGGAUGAAAGUGGGGGACCGCAAGGCCUCACGCUCCUGGAGCGGCCGAUAUCUGAUUAGCUAGUUGGUGAGGUAAAGGCUCACCAAGGCGACGAUCAGUAGCUGGUCUGAGAGGACGACCAGCCACACUGGAACUGAGACACGGUCCAGACUCCUACGGGAGGCAGCAGUGGGGAAUUUUGGACAAUGGGCGCAAGCCUGAUCCAGCAAUGCCGCGUGAGUGAAGAAGGCCUUCGGGUUGUAAAGCUCUUUUGUCAGGGAAGAAACGGCCUAAGCUAAUAUCUUGGGCUAAUGACG